rnacentral:rRNA from 1 species
UACAUGGGGUGCAACCGUUGCUCGGAAUUAUUGGGCGUAAAGCGCGCGUAGGCGGUUACUUAUGUCGGAUGUGAAAGCCCUCGGCUUAACUGAGGAAGUGCAUUCGAAACUGGGUAGCUAGAGUACUAAAGAGGGUCGCGGAAUUCCCGGUGUAGAGGUGAAAUGCGUAGAUAUCGAGAGGAACACCUGCGGCGAAGGCGGGUUGCUGGGCUGAUACUGACGCUGAUGCGCGAAAGCCAGGGGAGCGAACGGG